GGAUGUGAGGGGGAUCUAACUAUAACAUGAGUCAUCCCGUUGAUCACCAGGGUUGAUUCAGCUGAUCUGUCUGGCCAGGUGAAAGUCCCCUUCCUGCCUCACCACUCCAUGUGUGUCCCUCCUGAAGCUGUAUGAUCACUGGAAGAGGAUGACUAUCCCUUGUCGAGGAGGACCGUUCUUUGGUCAAGGGCAUAUGAGUAGCUGUGCUCCUCUGCUCGAACCUCCAAACGAGCUCUCAAAAUUGAUCCUAUGCCCACUAUAACUAUUGAUGGAAUUUGGACAAAUAAUGUGACCAAAUUU
rnacentral:snRNA from 1 species